CGGGGUGGAGUAAUGUCUGGGAAACGUGCCUGAUGGAGGGGGAUGACUACUGGAAACGGUAGCUAAUACCGCAUAACGUCGCAAGACCAAAGAGGGGGACCUUCGGGCCUCUUGCCAUCGGAUGUGCCCAGAUGGGAUUAGCUAGUAGGUGGGGUAACGGCUCACCUAGGCGACGAUCCCUAGCUGGUCUGAGAGGAUGACCAGCCACACUGGAACUGAGACACGGUCCAG
rnacentral:rRNA from 1 species